rnacentral:lncRNA from 1 species
AUUAAAGCUCGAAGCAUGAGGUGUUGAAUUUAAUUCAGUAUACGAAAACAGAAUUUCAAUGAUUUAGUUGUUUAAAAAUUAUGACAACAGAGAAUAACAUUAACAGUGAUCAAUCAAAACAUAAUAUGAAGCAAUUAAAGCCACAAAAUCGAGCUCAUAACAAUCAAUUUAUCUCCCAAAAACAUAACAUUUACAGUGACACCAUUCAAAAACUCAAUCAUCAUUCAAAAAUAAUCAUGAAAAACCAGAAAACAU